rnacentral:rRNA from 1 species
GGAAGGUCCGGGCGUUAUCCGGAUUUAUUGGGUUUAAAGGGAGCGUAGGCCGGAGAUUAAGCGUGUUGUGAAAUGUAGACGCUCAACGUCUGCACUGCAGCGCGAACUGGUUUCCUUGAGUACGCACAAAGUGGGCGGAAUUCGUGGUGUAGCGGUGAAAUGCUUAGAUAUCACGAAGAACUCCGAUUGCGAAGGCAGCUCACUGGAGCGCAACUGACGCUGAAGCUCGAAAGUGCGGGUAUCGAACAGGAUUAGAUACCCUGGUAGUCCACACAGUAAACGAUGAAUACUCGCUGUUUGCNAUAUACAGUAAGCGGCCAAGCGAAAGCAUUAAGCAUCCCACCUGGGGAGU